GAUUGUUGGAAGCAAAGAGGCCACAUUUAUAUUGGACACCGUGUGCUGCUCAUUGCAUUGAUUUAAUUUUGGAGGAUAUUGGGAAGAUGCCUUCAAUUCAUGCAACUUUGAAAAGGCCAAUUUUUUUGAAUGGCUAUAUCUAUAAUCGUGUUGGCGUUGUCAACUUGAUGAGACAGUUCACUGGAGGAAAGGAGUUACUAAGACCUGCAGUUACAAGAUUUGCAACUGCCUUCAUCACCCUUCGUUCAAUCCAUCUUCAAAAGAACAAUUUGAGGAAAAUGUUUACUUCUGAAGAUUGGAAUACUACUAAAUGGGCAAAGGAGGCGGCUGGCAAAAGAGCAGCUACUAUUGUUUUGAUGCCUACUUUUUGGAGUACCAUCGUCUAUGCUCUUAAGUUAACAGGUCCACUUGUUCGUGUACUCCGUUUGGUUGAUGGGGAAAAGAAGCCUGCAAUGUGAUACAUUUAUGAAGUAAUGAAUAGGGCUAAGGAAGCCAUAGCUAAGGCUUUUGGUGAGAGAGAGGAUAAAUUCAAGGAGGCAUUUGAAAUUAUUGAUACGAGGUGGGGAUGCCAACUCCAUCAACCGUUGCAUGCAGCUGCACACUACUUGAAUCCAGAAUUUUUCUAUUCAAACCCCAACAUUUUGCAAGAUGAAGAAAUUAUGACGGGUUUGUACAAAUGUAUUGGAAGGUUACUGCCAACUAUUAAAAUGCAAGAUAAAGUUUCAAAUGAGUUGGAAAAAUACAAUGCCGCUAGUGGCGUCUUUGGAAUUAGUUUGGCAGUGAGACAAAGGAAGACAAAAGCACAAGCGCAAUGGUGGAUGGCAUAUGGAUCAACAACUCCAAACUUGCAAAAGUUUGCUGUGAAAAUUCUUAGCCUCACGUGUAGUGCUACCGGCUACGAAAGAAAUUGGAGCAUAUUCUAACAUCUUCAUAGCAAAAGGAGAAAUAGGCUAUCCCAACAACGCUUGAAUGAUUUGGUAUUUGUGAAAUAUAAUCGAACUCUGAGGCAUCGAUACGACAAACGUGACACCAUUGAUCCCAUCCUCCUAAAGGACAUUGAUGAUAGUAAUAAGUGGUUGAUUGGUAGGAUGGAUGACGAUUCUGAUGAGGAUGAUGAACUUGUGUUUGAAGAUGAUAAUUUGACUUGGGAUUCUGUUGCUAGAGCUGCUGGACUAAAUAACCCCCCACAUCACACUAGAUCAAGAAUAAGUACAAAUAUGCCAUCAUUGUCUAAAGGAAGAGGAAGGGCUUCAUCUAGUAGUGCAACCAGUGCUAGGGGUCGGACCACAAUGUUGGAACUUGUAGAUGAGGAUGAAAUCCAAGUGGAUAGUGCAGAGGAGACGGAAGAGGAAAAAGAUGUUGGACAAAAUAGUUCUGAUGAUGCAGAGGAAGAUGAUGAUAUCUUCACCGACUUAGUUGAUGAUGAGUGAUGAGUGAUGAGUGAUGAGUGAUGAUUGAGGAGGAUUUUUAGAUUUUAUAUUUUGAAAUCUUUUAUUGUACUCUUUUCUUUUGAUGUUGAACUAUGUUGAAUUAUUGAUGCUUUUGGGCUUCGUUUUGGCAAUUUUAUUAAAUUUCCAUUGAA